ACGACUGGGCGCCCUUUUCUGCUGCAGCCUUCAUCCGCCUUCCCAGCUGUUGUGAUGCUUCCGUAAGGCCAGCCAUCAUCCUCCGCCUGCACCGCUAUUGAGGUCUUGGUUGGAUUGCUUUUUG